GGCGACGAUCAGUAGCGGGUCUGAGAGGAUGAUCCGCCACACUGGGACUGAGACACGGCCCAGACUCCUACGGGAGGCAGCAGUGGGGAAUUUUGGACAAUGGGGGCAACCCUGAUCCAGCCAUGCCGCGUGUCUGAAGAAGGCCUUCGGGUUGUAAAGGACUUUUGUCAGGGAGGAAAUCCCGCUGGUUAAUACCUGGCGGGGAUGACAGUACCUGAAGAAUAAGCACCGGCUAACUACGUGCCAGCAGCCGCGGUAAUACGUAGGGUGCGAGCGUUAAUCGGAAUUACUGGGCGUAAAGCGUGCGCAGGCGGUUUUGCAAGUCUGAUGUGAAAGCCCCGGGCUCAACCUGGGAACGGCAUUGGAGACUGCAAGACUAGAGUGCGUCAGAGGGGGGUAGAAUUCCGCGUGUAGCAGUGA
rnacentral:rRNA from 2 species